UUUAGCCGAAAGAAAGAGAGAAGCAAACUGCUUCCCAACACUUUCACUUCAUCAAUCUAUCAAGAAACCCAGCAUCAGGUAUAACAAGUUUCUUAUCUUCUCUUCAUCGUAGAUUUGAUAUACCUAUUUGUGCAGAAUUUUGUUAUAUUUAUUCAGUUUUAUCAUCUGUUUUGUUGUUUGAGUUGCCUAGAUUUGGAUACCUUUCACUCUAAAUUUCAUUUAGAAUCUUGAUUUUUGAUGUAGUUUCAUUUAUAUCUAGAAGUGUUUUAUACAGUUUAAAUUUCAAGAUGGAGAUGCAUUAUGUAUAGCUAUUGUUUGUCGGGUUUUUUUUUCCACAUUGUCUUAUAGAAUGUUAUUGUUUUACAAAUGUUCUGUAGCUUUGUUACUACAAUUCAUUGAUUUGAAUUCUUUCUGGUAGAAUUUGGUACUUCAACAUUUACUAAUUGCUGUGGUAUGUUAGUAUGUUACCACAUCUGCAUUAGUUGUGCACUAUUGAUUUCUCUGCACAUCUAUUUUAUUAACAUUGUUUGCUUGUGAACAGGUUUGGAAACUGCUGCGGCAUUUUGGUGGUAUUGUAAAUUGCUUAUCUAGGUGCACCAAACUGUAAAUUGCUUAUGGCCACAUGAAAGAUUGUGACAUUAGGAUUUAAGAAUUUGAGAUGGGGAACGCAGAAGAGGUUUGGUGUCUCUUUACUUUAUCAAAAAGAUGAUUGAUCGUAUAGAGAAGGAUGGGCAGCUCUUAAAAGUGCCUAUAGUUUUCCAUAUAUCAGAAAUGCGAUUGAAACUAUUCACGACUAGAUUGGUUGGUUCAAUUAUCAUUGGAAGAUAUUUGGAAAUGAUUUGGAAGUACUCAAUGGAUGAUAAUGGUCUUAGAGAUGGUGUCUUUGGUUUGGGAGAAGUCGGCAAAAUGAUUUGGGAGGUAAAUUAGCAAUGCCAUAGGUGCAGUCUCACACCCUUGAAGAAUGUGGUCUUGAAGAUCCUUGGUUUGAGUACGUGAAGCUACGAAAGCGAACUUCAUAGCAUCAGUGGCACAAUAGAUAUCAAGUUCACCCAGAUGUAAUGGAACGGUUGCCAUAUGCCUUUGUACAUCACCAAACACAAGGUUCAUCAGAAACCACAAUAUUUUGAAGGGUUGUAUAGAGCUUGCGGUCAAACAAUUCGGUUGCUUCCUGAAUAUAAUCUAGUGGGUAAGUACGAAGACUAAAAAUUAGUUUAGAUAAUUCCAUACAGGAAUGUAAAACUGCCCACUCACAUUGCAGAUUCUUUAGUUGCGAUAGUACUUAUAAGCUGAAGCAUUUUAUUCACUCGUUGGUGAACAUUACCAGCAAUAAAAGAAACAUCGAUACUAGCCUUAUGUUUUGUAACAAAAGGUUGUUGACCUUUUUUUUCUUUAUAUUAAUCAUUGAAAUGUAGUACGUAUGUUGCUCCGUUUUGUAUAUGCUCUUGUGGUCCCAAUCACAAAGCGUCAUGUGUUUAUUUGGCAACUAAUUUUGGUCCACUACAUACAAAGGUUAUAUUUUUAUUAUUUAAUUAUUUAAAUAAAAAUUAAAUGGCACAUGUCGUUUUAUGAUUGAGACCACAUGACCAUAUACAAAAUGGAUCAACAUACUACAUUCAUUCUUAUCUUUACUACUUUAGAAGGGAGCAGGG
rnacentral:lncRNA from 1 species